UACGUAGGUGGCAAGCGUUGUCCGGAUUUACUGGGCGUAAAGAGCGCGCAGGCGGUCGUUCAAGUCGCGUGUGAAAGCCCCCGGCUCAACUGGGGAGGGUCACGCGAUACUGAUCGACUCGAAGGCAGGAGAGGGUAGUGGAAUUCCUGGUGUAGCGGUGAAAUGCGCAGAUAUCAGGAGGAACACCAAUUGCGAAGGCAGCUCGCUGGGACGUUACUGACGCUGAGACGCGAAAGCGUGGGGAGCAAACAGG
rnacentral:rRNA from 1 species